rnacentral:rRNA from 1 species
CCUACGGGUGGCAGCAGUGAGGAAUAUUGGUCAAUGGACGAGAGUCUGAACCAGCCAAGUAGCGUGAAGGAUGACUGCCCUAUGGGUUGUACACUUCUUUUAUAUGGGAAUAAAAUGUUCCACGUGUGGGAUUUUGUAUGUACCAUAUGAAUAAGGAUCGGCUAACUCCGUGCCAGCAGCCGCGGUAAUACGGCGGAUCCGAGCGUUAUCCGGAUUUAUUGGGUUUAAAGGGAGCGUAGGUGGAUUUGUAAGUCCGUUGUGAAAGUUUGCGGCUGAACCGUAAAAUUGCAGUUGAAACUGGCAGUCUUGAGUACAGUAGAGGUGGGCGGAAGUCGUGGUGUAGCGGUGAAAUGCUUAGAUAUCACGAAGAACUCCGAUUGCGAAGGCAGUUCACUGGACUGCAACUGACACUGAGGCUCAAAAGUGUGGGUAUCAAACAGGAUUAGAUACCCGUGUAGUC